UACGGAGGGCGCAAGCGUUGUUCGGAAUUGCUGGGCGUAAAGCGCGUGUAGGCGGUCUAGCAAGUCGGUUGUGAAAUCCCCGGGCUCAACCCGGGAACUGCAUCCGAAACUGCUGGGCUAGAGUUUCGGAGAGGAAGGCAGAAUUCCCAAUGUAGGGGUGAAAUCCGUAGAUAUUGGGAGGAAUACCAGUGGCGAAGGCGGCCUUCUGGACGGAUACUGACGCUGAGACGCGAAAGCGUGGGGAGCAAACAGG
rnacentral:rRNA from 1 species